rnacentral:lncRNA from 1 species
GUGCCCCCACAGCCAUGUCAGGAACAGGAGGAGAACCUCAUCCUGACAUGAGCAAAGUCGAAGGUCCGGUUCUUUUAGACCGGAUUGGGAGGAGAGACCCUGGCGAUGGCCCUUACGUGCCCUCACAGGAAUGGGAGGAGAACCUUGUCCUGAUGGUGACGGAGCCCGGCCGCCCGACAAAAUCAGGUGAAGGGAAAAGGCCCCUCAGCGGCACCUCUACACUCCUAAGCAACCCCAUAAAAAGCGGGGGGAGGGC